rnacentral:rRNA from 1 species
AGAGUUUGAUCCAUGGCUCAGAACGAACGCUGGCGGCAGGCUUAACACAUGCAAGUCGAACGCAUCCUUCGGGGUGAGUGGCACACGGGUGAGUAACGCGUGGGAAUGUGCCCUUCAGUUCGGGAUAACCCAGGGAAAGGAGGGCUAAUACCGUAUACGUUCGGGAGCCGAAAGAUUUAUCGCCCAAGGAUGGGCCCGCGUCGGAUUAGCUAGUUGGUGGGGUAAUGGCCCACCAAGGCGACGAUCAGUAGCUGGUCUGAGAGGAUGAUCAGCCACAUUGGGACUGAGACACGGCCCAAACUCCUACGGGAGGCAGCAGUGGGGAAUAUUGGACAAUGGGCGCAAGCCUGAUCCAGCCAUGCCGCGUGAGUGAUGAAGGCCUUAGGGUUGUAAAGCUCUUUCGUCCGGGACGAUAAUGACGGUACCGGAAGAAUAAGCCCCGGCUAACUUCGUGCCAGCAGCCGCGGUAAUACGAAGGGGGCUAGCGUUGUUCGGAAUCACUGGGCGUAAAGGGCGCGUAGGCGGCUUUGUAAGUCAGAGGUGAAAGCCUGUGGCUCAACCCCAGAACUGCCUUCAAUACUGCAUGGCUUGAAACCCGAAGAGGUGAGUGGAACUGCGAGUGUAGAGGUGAAAUUCGUAGAUAUUCGCAAGAACACCAGUGGCGAAGGCGGCUUACUGGUCCAGUUCUGACGCUGAGGCGCGAAAGCGUGGGGAGCAAACAGGAUUAGAUACCCUGGUAGUCCACGCCGUAAACGAUGAAUGCUAGCCGUUCGGCCAACUUGCUGCUCAGUGGCGCAGCUAACGCUUUAACCAUUCCCCCGGGGGAAUACAGGCCCCAGAUUAAAACUCCAAAGAAUUGACGGGGGCCCCCCCAAGCGGUGGAACAUGGGGUUUAAUUCCAAACAACCCGCAAAAACUUACCCACCUUUUAAAUGUCCCGUAUGGGCAGUGGAAAAACUGUUCUUCCAGUUCCGCUGGGGUGAACACAAGGGCUGCAUGGGUGUCCUCCGCUCCUGGCCUGAAAAGUUGGGUUAAAUCCCCCAACGAAGGCAACCCUCCCCCCUAAUUGCCCUCCUUCAAUUGGGCACUCCUAGGGGACUGCCCGUGAAAAACCCAGAGGAAGGUGGGGAUGACGUCAAGUCCUCAUGGCCCUUACGGGCUGGGCUACACACGUGCUACAAUGGCGGUGACAAUGGGCAGCUAACCCGCGAGGGCGAGCCAAUCCCAAAAAGCCGUCUCAGUUCGGAUUGCACUCUGCAACUCGAGUGCAUGAAGGUGGAAUCGCUAGUAAUCGUGGAUCAGAACGCCACGGUGAAUACGUUCCCGGGGCUUGUACACACCGCCCGUCACACCAUGGGGAGUUGGUCUUACCCGAAGGGGCUGCGCCAACCGCAAGGAGGCAGGCGACCACGGUGGGGUUAACGACUGGGGUGAA